UACGGGGGGGGUAAGCGUUGUUCGGAAUUACUGGGCGUAAAGGGCUCGUAGGCGGCCAACUAAGUCCGACGUGAAAUCCCCAGGCUUAACCUGGGAACUGCGUCGGAUACUGGUUGGCUUGAAUCCGGGAGAGGGAUGCGGAAUUCCAGGUGUAGCGGUGAAAUGCGUAGAUAUCUGGAGGAACACCGGUGGCGAAGGCGGCAUCCUGGACCGAGAUUGACGCUGAUGCGCGAAAGCCAGGGGAGCAAACGGG
rnacentral:rRNA from 1 species